AGUCCUCCUCAGAAAGGACCCUCCCCUGCCAUAGAGGUGCACACAGCAAGUGGACCCUGCCGCCUUUGGGACUGUGCCUGGGCCCCUCAAAGUGAACGUGGAGGUUUUACGCCC
rnacentral:snoRNA from 1 species